UUCCCUGCCGAAGUUUCCCUCAGAUAGCAGAAACUCGUGUCAGAUUUAUGUGGUAAAGCGAAUGUUAGAGGCCUUGGGGUUGAAACAACCUUAACCUAUUCUCAAACUUUAAAUAUGUAAGAACAAGCCGUCGCUUGAUUGGACCGCUUGGCGAUU
rnacentral:rRNA from 1 species